AUGCCCACUAAAUCUAUCAUUGAAAGAAAGAAGCAGCUUCUCCUCGUGGUAGACCCCAGAAGUAAGGCGCUUCAGGACUACCGGAAGAAGCUGCUUGAGCACAGGGAGAUCAACAGCUGUCUUAAGGAGUUCGACAGCCAUCUUAAGGAGUUAAGGAAACAAUUAAAAGAACUUACAAGCAGUAUGAAAAGUCUGAAAAUGAUCUGAAGGUCCUACCAAGUGUUGGGCAGAUUGUGGGUGAAGCCCUUCAACAGUUAACUGAAGAAAAAUUCUUUGUUAAAGCCACAAAUGGACCAAGAAAUGUUGUGGGUUGUUGUCAACAGCUUGACAAAAGUAAGCUGAAGCCAGGAAUAAGAGUUGCUUUGGAUAUGACAACACUAACUCUCAUGAGAUAUUUGCUAAGAGAGGUGGAUCCACUGAUUUAUAUGUCUCAUGAGGACCCUGGGAAUGUUUCUUAUUCUGAGAUUGGAGGGCUAGCAAAACAUCCGGGAAUUAAGAGAGGUAAUAGAAUUACCUCUUACAAACCCAGAGUUAUUUCAGCAUGUAGGAAUAAUACCUCCAAAAGGCUGUUUGUUUACAGACCACCAGGUACAGUGAAAACACUCUUGGCACGAGCCAUUGCUAGCCAGCUGGACUGCAAUUUCUUAAGGCUGUUAUCUCGUUUUAUUGUAGACAAGCACAUUGGUGAAAGAGCUCGUCUGAUCAGAGAAAUGUUUAAUUAUGCCAGGGACUGUCAACGAUGAAUCAUUUUUAUAGAUGAAAUGGAUACUAUUGGUGGUCGUUUGUUUUCUGAGGGUACUUCAGCUGACAGAGAGUGUCACAGAACUUUAAUGGAGUUACUGAAUCAAAUGGAUGGAUUUGAUACUCUGCAUAGAGUUAAAAUGGUCGUGGCUACAAACAGACCAAAUAUACUAGAUCCUGCUUCCUGAUCGAGGAAUAUUAGAUAGAAAAAUACAUAUUGAUUUGCCAAAUGAACAAGCAAGAUUAGACCUACUGAAGAUCCAUGUAGGUCCCAUUACAAAGCAUGGUGAAAUAGAUUAUGAAGCAAUUGUGAAGCUUUCAGAUAGCUUUAAUGGAGCAGACCUGAGAAGUGUUUGUACUGAGGCAGGUAUGUUCACAAUUUGCGCUGAUCAUGAUUUUGCAGUACAGGAAAACUUCAUGAAAGCAGUCAGGAAAGUGGCUGAUUCUAAGAAACUAGAGACUAAGUUGGACUGCAAACCUGUGUAAUUUACUGUAAGGUUUUUGAUGGCUGCAUGACAGAUGUUGACUUAAUGUAAAAAUAGAGUUAAAGAAAAUUAUGUAUUGGCAAUGAUGUCAUUAAAAGUAUAUGAAUAAAAAUAUGCAUGAGUAACAUCAUAAAAAUUAGUAAUACAACUUUUUAAGAUUGAUACAGAAGAAAUUUGUAUGUUUGUUAAUGUUGCAUUUUUUGCAGCAAGUUACAAAGGAAGAGUGUGUUGACGCUUUUCAUAUUUGCUGUGUGAGCAUUUUGUAAAACAUUGAAAGUGGUUUGAGAUAGUAGUAAAAGACAGCAUUUCUUAUGACUUAUUUUGUACAUUUGUUUUCCUCAUCUAAAAAGUUGAAUAAAAUCUGUUUAAUUUAAUUAUCC